ACUAAAGCUAGCCCAAACAAAACAAAACACAACUACAUAAACCAACUUUAAAAUAAAACAUUUAUAAAUUAAAGUAUAGGAGAUAGAAAUUUUAAAUAGGCGCUAUAGAGAAAGUACCGCAAGGGAACGAGUGAAAGAAUAAAUUAAAAGUGAUAAAUAGCAAAGAUUAACCCUUUUACCUUUUGCAUAAUGAGUUAACUAGUAAACUUUAGCAAAGAGAACUUAAGUUAAAUACCCCGAAACCAGACGAGCUACCCAUGAGCAGCUUAACAGAGCAAACUCGUCUAUGUGGCAAAAUAGUGAGAAGACUUGUGGGUAGAGGUGAAAAGCCUACCGAGCCUGGUGAUAGCUGGUUGUCCAGAAAAGAAUAUAAGUUCAACUUUAAUUCCUACUGACAAAAAACAAAAUUAUAAUGUAGAAUUAAAUGUUAGUCUUUAGAGGUACAGCCCUUAAGACAAAGGAUACAACCUUAUAUUGGAGAGUAAGAAUAUUAAAAUUACCAUAGUUGGCCUAAAAGCAGCCAUCAAUUAAGAAAGCGUUCAAGCUCAACAUUACUAAAAAUUUUAAUUCCUAUAAUAAAACAAUCUCCCAAUGAAAAUAACUGGACUAAUCUAUAAAACUAUAGAAGAAAUACUGUUAAUAUGAGUAACAAGAAUAAUUUCUCCCUGCACAAGCCUAUAUCAGAUCGGAUAACCACUGAUAGUUAACAACAAAAUAAUAAUAAUCAUAAAUAAAAAACUUAUUAAAUUUAUUGUUGACCCAACACCGGUGUGCACACUUAUUAAGGGAAAGAUUAAAAGAAGUAAAAGGAACUCGGCAAACACAAACCCCGCCUGUUUACCAAAAACAUCACCUCUGGCAUAACCAGUAUCAGAGGCACUGCCUGCCCAGUGACAUUAGUUAAACGGCCGCGGUAUCCUGACCGUGCAAAGGUAGCAUAAUCAUUUGUUCUUUAAUUAGGGACUUGUAUGAAUGGCCACACGAGGGUUUAACUGUCUCUUACUUCCAAUCAGUGAAAUUGACCUUCCCGUGAAGAGGCGGGGAUAAAAAAAUAAGACGAGAAGACCCUAUGGAGCUUCAAUUAAUUAACUCAAAAAAACAUAAUUCCCUCCAAAAGGUGACCAAAAAACAAAAAACUGAGUUAACAAUUUCGGUUGGGGUGACCUCGGAGUAUAAAAUAACCUCCGAGAGAUUCAAGCCAAGACUUACGAGUCAAAGCUAAUACAUCACAAUUGAUCCAAUCACAUUGAUCAACGGAACAAGUUACCCUAGGGAUAACAGCGCAAUCCUAUUUAAGAGUCCAUAUCGACAAUAGGGUUUACGACCUCGAUGUUGGAUCAGGACAUCCCAAUGGUGCAGCCGCUAUUAAUGGUUCGUUUGUUCAACGAUUAAAGUCCUACGUGAUCUGAGUUCAGACCGGAGCAAUCCAGGUCGGUUUCUAUCUAUUUAAUAUUUCUCCCAGUACGAAAGGACAAGAGAAAUAAGGCCAACUCUACAGGAGAGCCUUAAAACCAAUAGAUGAAUUAAUCUAAAUCUAGUAAUUUAUUACAAUUCUGCCCUAGAAACAGGGCUUC
rnacentral:rRNA from 1 species